rnacentral:rRNA from 1 species
UUAUGGCCAUAUCAUGUUGAAACACCGGUUUUCGUACGAUCACCGAAGUUGAGCAAUAUCGACCCUGGUCAGUACAUAGAUAGGUGACCGCUUGGAAAUACCAAUUGCUGAAA